GGCUCAGAUGAAACGCGGGCGGCGUGCCUAACACAUGCAAGUCGAGCGGCAGCGCGGGAGCAAUCCUGGCGGCGAGCGGCGGACGGGUGAGCAAUGCUUGGGAAUCUGCCCAUCAGUGGGGGACAACCCGGGGAAACUCGGGCUAAUACCGCAUACGUUCUUCGGAAGAAAGCAGGGGAUCGCAAGACCUUGCGCUGAUGGAUGAGCCCAAGUCGGAUUAGCUAGUUGGUGAGGUAAUGGCUCACCAAGGCGACGAUCCGUAGCUGGUCUGAGAGGACGACCAGCCACACCGGAACUGAGACACGGUCCGGACUCCUACGGGAGGCAGCAGUGGGGAAUAUUGGACAAUGGGCGAAAGCCUGAUCCAGCGACGCCGCGUGGGUGAAGAAGGCCUGCGGGUUGUAAAGCCCUUUCGUUGGGGAAGAACAGUGUCGACCUAACACGUCGGCACCUUGACGUUACCCAAAGAAGAAGCACCGGCUAACUCUGUGCCAGCAGCCGCGGUAAUACAGAGGGUGCGAGCGUUAAUCGGAAUUACUGGGCGUAAAGCGCACGUAGAUGGCUUCGUAAGUCGGAUGUGAAAUCCCCGGGCUCAACCUGGGAACUGCAUUCGAAACUGCGUUGCUCGAAUGUGGAAGAGGGAAGCGGAAUUCCAGGUGUAGCGGUGAAAUGCGUAGAUAUCUGGAGGAACAUCAGUGGCGAAAGCGGCUUCCUGGUCCAACAUUGACAUUCAGGUGCGAAAGCGUGGGGAGCAAACAGGAUUAGAUACCCUGGUAGUCCACGCCAUAAACGAUGCGAACUAGAUGUCGAGAGGGUCAGCCUCCCGGUGUCGCAGCUAACGCGGUAAGUUCGCCGCCUGGGGAGUACGG
rnacentral:rRNA from 1 species